GUCCUGUCGGAAAAGCUCGUUUACUCUGCUCGGGUCUCCAGUGGUUUAAGGAUAAUGUUUAUCAGAAGUGAACGUGCUCAACUUGUUUCCAUUCAACUGCUGAGUGUGGGCUGAAAUACCAAAGGUCAGAUCUACAGUGAGUCGGUAGAGGGCAGGGGGAGACGAGAGGAAUAUGAAAACAUAAUAUACAACAGCCUGUUGAUCGCUUCUGACCUGCCUGGCAAAAAGAUUAAUUUUUUCAGGAACCAAUUGGGAAUUCCUAGGCAAUUUUCUCCGUUUCUGCCUUUGCUUCUGCAACACCUAGUACCACUGCCACCUACAGGAAUAAUUGCAUUUUCAAGCUAUUUUCAAGUAACCAGAAGCGUUUGAGAGUCCUGGUAGCUCUGUCGUCUUCCUGGACGCGCAGCAGCAAGUCUGACUUCGAAAGGCAUUGUUUUUCUCCGUGGCUUUCGUUUGAGAUCACACACUGAUGCAGGUUCGCUCCUCUGUGGCACGGCAGUGGGAGGGACGGAGCCUUUCCCCAGGGACCCCGGGAGACGCAGCCAGCAAAGGUGUUGGGGAAGCACUCCUAGGGGAGGAGGAAACGGGUAGUGGAAGCUCCUUCUCCAGGCACUGGAUUACGGUCAGCGCGCCUGCCCAUCCAAACCACGAUGCUGCAAACCUUCGGCUCACCAGGCAGCCUCUGGGUCCCGCCCAGAGCUGGGACAAAGGGUGAUCCCAUUGUCUAGUGGUGACUACAGUAAGGCCGGAGCCCUACAGCUCCCGCAGCCCCAGCUGUCACAUUCCCCCUGCUGUCUGCCAGCCAUCCUCUGGAAGGGCAGCUUCGCGUUUAAAAUGGAGAAACAUCUCAGCAGCCGCUCUCAGGUUGCUCUGAGGUGUGGUUGGAACAACCCUUGUUUGGUGAAUAGCUGGGGUAGAGGAAAGCCUCUGAGCUUAACUGAGCUGGGAAUUUCCCACUUUUGUUUCAGUGACCAAAACAAGUUGUUUUUUUUCCUUUGAAAAGUGUUUCAGGCCUCUGUGUGAUUAAAUUGAUGCAUCAUUUGGGAUGGAACAUUACAGUGACACAGAAUGAGACUGUGAAUUUCUGGUGGGUCAUGGCAAGGCUGCAGGCAUUGUAAUGCAGAGUAUUCAUAUACCAGAGGGUUCUCUCUCACUCACUCCUGUCCUAUCUCCCCUCUGACCAUGAAGGUAAUACUGGGCUAAGUGCAUUGUCUACAAUUCCCUUGUACACUGGAGUCAAUCGCACAAUAUUUGAGAAUAACUAGUAAGUUAUUAAAGACAGAUUCAAGCCUUAUUCAUCUGGUGUAUGGUGCCAUCUGCUUGAAAGAAGGAAAAUAAUGUGCUGGGAGUGGUGAAGAUGAUUCCCUUUUUGCUGUAACACAAGACCAGAGGAAACAAGAUUGAUACACUUUCAAGGAACAGGUUAUCUCUCACUGACAGCAGGUUUCUCUUUUUUCAU
rnacentral:lncRNA from 1 species